rnacentral:rRNA from 1 species
AUGAGAAUACCGGUUGUCACACUAAAAUUGGAUUUUCAGAAAGCUUUUGAUUCGGUCAGUUGGGACUACCUUUUCCAGGUUAUGGAAGCUAGAGGCUUCCCUCCAAAGUGGGCACAGUGGAUCAAUACACUUCUCUCCUCGGGCAAUUCUCGAGUGCUCCUCAAUGGAGAGCUAGGAGAUCCCGUUGUUGCCAAAAGAGGUUUUAGGCAAGGGGAUUCUCUGUCACCGUAUCUAUUCUUGCUUGUAGCUGAUGUGCUCUAG